AAGCACUCCAUAUAUGUUCAUUUUUGGUGUUGAUAAAAUCAUUUUCUCUCAAAUUCCGGAUUUCGAUCAGAUUUCUUGGCUUUCAAUUGUUGCCGCGGUCAUGUCCUUUACCUACUCUACCAUUGGUCUCGGUCUUGGAAUCGGCAAAGUUGCAGAGAAUAGGAAAUUUAAGGGAAGUCUCACCGGAAUAAGCAUCGGCACGGUGACUGAGACUCAAAAAAUUUGGAGGAGCUUCCAAGCACUUGGAGACAUAGCUUUUGCCUAUUCUUACUCUCUCAUCCUCAUUGAAAUCCAG